rfam:Schistosoma mansoni, Puerto Rico, WGS project CABG01000000 data, contig: 0094
AUCUAGCUGACGAAUCUCAAGUAGGACGAAACGGGCCUUGUCCUGGAU